GAUACCCCCAUCGGACCACAUGGCCUGAUGGGGAAAUGGUCAGCCGCUCCAGGAUGGCCUCGCGGCCUAUCAGCUUGUUGGUGAGGUAACGGCUCACCAAGGCCAAGACGGGUAGCUGGUCUGAGAGGACGAUCAGCCACACUGGGACUGAGACACGGCCCAGACUCCUACGGGAGGCAGCAGCAGGGAAUAUUGCACAAUGGGCGAAAGCCUGAUGCAGCGACGCCGCGUGCGGGAUGAAGGCCUUCGGGUUGUAAACCGCUUUCAGGAGGGAAGAAAAUGACGGUACCUCCAGAAGAAGCCCCGGCCAACUACGUGCCAGCAGCCGCGGUAAUACGUAGGGGGCGAGCGUUGUCCGGAUUUAUUGGGCGUAAAGGGCUCGUAGGCGGUUUGACAAGUCGGUCGUGAAAGCCCGGGGCUCAACCCCGGGACGCCGGUCGAAACUGUCAUGACUAGGGUCCGGUAGAGGUGAGUGGAAUUCUCGGUGUAGCGGUGGAAUGCGCAGAUAUCGAGAGGAACACCAUUAGCGAAAGGCGGCUCACUGGGCCGGUACCGACGCUGAGGAGCGAAAGCGUGGGGAGCA
rnacentral:rRNA from 1 species